UACAGAGGUCCCAAGCGUUGUUCGGAUUCACUGGGCGUAAAGGGUGCGUAGGUGGUGAGGUAAGUCGGAUGUGAAAUCUCCGAGCUCAACUCGGAAAUUGCAUUGGAAACUACCUUGCUUGAGGGUUGGAGGGGGGACUGGAAUGCUUGGUGUAGCAGUGAAAUGCGCAGAUAUCAGGAGGAACACCGGUGGCGAAGGCGGAUCUCUGGGCCUUACCUGACGCUGAGGAGCGAAAGCAUGGGGAGCAAACAGG
rnacentral:rRNA from 1 species